UACGUAGGGACCAAGCGUUGUUCGGAUUUACCGGGCGUAAAGGGCGCGUAGGCGGCAAUUCAAGUCAGCUGUGAAAUCUCCGGGCUUAACUCGGAACGGUCAGCUGAUACUGCUUUGCUAGAGUGCAGAAGGGGCAAUCGGAAUUCUUGGUGUAGCGGCGAAAUGCGUAGAUAUCAAGAGGAACACCUGAGGUGAAGACGGGUUGCUGGGCUGACACUGACGCUGAGGCGCGAAAGCUAGGGUAGCAAACGGG
rnacentral:rRNA from 1 species